rnacentral:rRNA from 1 species
AUGCGCACCCUUAUCUCCUCUUGCUGCCUCAUACUCGACCCAAAGAGAUUCCCUCGCUCUCACACACCCAGUGAUGCUGGCCAUCUCGCCGCGCCAAUGGCAUCCAUCCCCUCCCUCGCCGUCUCCGGCGCCGCCACUGCCGUCGCUGCCAAGCCCCCGCCGAGCUCCGCCGGCUUCGACAAGGGCGGUUCUCAUCAGAGGAGCACCCAAGCAGCGGAAAAUGGCAGAUUGGAGACCGAGAGCCCCCCUCGGCCGCUAGAUGCCCUGGAAGCAAUGAGCAUGCUGAAAGACGGCCGGACGGUGCAGUCAGCGAUGUACGUGCCUCUGCUUCACCAGUGCGUCCAAGCCAGCGACCGAGGGGGCCUCCGCACCGCCAGGGCCCUGCACGGCCACAUGGCGAAGACCGGAACCGUCGCGGACAUGUUCGUGGCGACGUCCCUGGUGAACGUGUACAUGAGGUGCGGGGCGAGCCGGGACGCGCGCAGGCUGUUCGACGGAAUGCCCGACAAGAACGUGGUCACCUGGACGGCGCUGAUAACGGGCCACACUCUCAACUCCGAGCCGGCGCUGGCGCUGGAGGUGUUCGUCGAGAUGCUCGAGCUGGGGAGGUACCCGUCGCACUACACGCUGGGCGGCAUGCUGAACGCGUGCUCUGCCGCGCGCAGGAUCGACCUGGGCCAGCAGGUCCAUGGCUACUCGGUUAAGUAUGGGGCCGAUACCAUCACGAGCAUGGGCAAUUCACUCUGCAGGAUGUACUGCAAGUCUGGAGACUUGGAGUCUGGCCUGAGGGCCUUUAAGGGCACCCCUGACAAGAAUGUGAUCACCUGGACGACGAUGAUAUCGUCCUGCGCCGAAGAUGAGAACUACCUGGAGCUUGGGGUGAGUUUGUUUCUUGAUAUGCUCGAGGGAGGGGUGACGCCGAAUGAGUUCACGUUGACUAGCGUCAUGAGCUUGUGUGGCACGAGGCUGGAUAUGAACCUCGGCAAGCAGGUCCAGGCUUUCUGCUACAAGGUUGGGUGUGAAGCGAAUCUUCCGGUGAAGAACUCCACAAUGUACCUCUAUCUCAGGAAGGGCGAAACGGACGAGGCAAUGCGGUUGUUCGAAGAGAUGGACAGCAGCAGUAUUAUCACGUGGAAUGCAAUGAUCUCCGGGUAUGCUCAAAUCAUGGACUCGGCAAAGGAUGACCUCCAUGCUCGUUCCAGAGGGUUCCAGGCACUCAAAUUAUUCCGUGAUCUCGUGAGAUCUGAAUUGAAGCCAGACUUGUUCACCUUCUCAAGCAUCCUGUCAGUAUGCAGCGCCAUGAUGGCCUUGGAGCAGGGCGAGCAAAUCCAUGCAAACACGAUAAAGACUGGAUGCCUGUCGGAUGUUGUUGUGAACAGCGCGCUGGUAAACAUGUACAACAAGUGCGGAUGCAUCGAGUGCGCGACCAAAGCCUUCGUCGAGAUGCCAACACGGACACCUGUCACGUGGACCUCUAUGAUUUCAGGGUACUCGCAGCAUGGCCGGUCCCGAGAUGCGAUACAGCUCUUUGAGGACAUGAUAUUAUCUGGCGCCAAACCAAACGAGAUCACAUUCGUAAGUUUGCUGUCAGCCUGCAGCUAUGCUGGUUUAGUCGAGGAGGCUGAGCGCUACUUUGACAUGAUGCGGAGUGAGUAUCAUAUAGAGCCUCUUGUGGACCAUUACGGGUGCAUGGUUGACAUGUUCGUGCGAUUGGGCCGGCUGGAUGAUGCAUUUUCCUUCAUCAAGAGAACAGGCUUUGAGCCGAACGAGGCCAUCUGGUCCAGUUUGGUAGCUGGAUGCCGGAGUCAUGGGAACAUGGAACUUGCUUUCUACGCCGCUGAUAGGCUCCUUGAGCUCAAGCCGAAAGUGAUUGAAACAUAUGUCUUGCUGUUGAACAUGUACGUGUCUACUGGUAGAUGGCGUGACGUCGCCAGGGUGCGGAAACUGGCCAAACAUGAAGAUGUCGGGGUUCUCAGAGACCGUAGCUGGAUUGCAAUCAGAGACAAGGUGUAUUUCUUCAGAGCUGAUGACAUGACUCACCCACAAGCUACAGAGUUGUAUCUAUUAUUGGAGAAUUUGCUGGAAAAGGCUAAGGCCGUAGGGUACGAACCGUACCAGAAUGCUCCUGAGUUAUUAUCUGACAGCAAGGAGGGCGACGAGGACAAGCCUGCUGCUGCUGCAGGUUCACUAAUAAAGCACCACAGUGAGAGGUUGGCUGUUGCACUGGGGCUGCUCAAAACACCUCCUGGUGCGACAGUCCGUGUGACCAAGAACAUCACCAUGUGCAGGGACUGCCACAGCUCUAUCAAAUACUUCUCACUACUCGCAAACAGAGAGAUUGUUGUCCGGGACAGCAAACGGCUUCACAAGUUCAAGGAUGGUCGGUGCUCGUGUGGGGAUUUCGGUGGUGCGCUCCUCCUGUGAUGCCGAAAAAUCUCAUGCGCACCGCGCUAUUCUAUUCCGAGAACAUGACAAUUUUUUGCAUUGGAAACAGGUUUGACUUACUCUGAAGAACUUGUUUACUGCAAGCUACCAUGAGAUGUCCGUUUGUUUGUAGAUUUUUGUAUGAAAGCAUGAUUUAUUCAGUCGGCAUCGGUGACAUAUGAGUAUAUAUGACCAUGCAUAAACCCAGUCAGAUUUCUGUCUGAGUGAACUGUUGGGCAUGACAUAUGUCCGUCUUGCCACGAGAAGCUCUUCCCACGGUCUACAAUCGCUCCUACAUGGUAGAACAUGUCAAUUAAUCCAUCAAAGUUGCUUGCUCCAGUCCCAUGGCAACCGUGGAUGCACUAAAAGGAUAACCUACUACCAGAAAGAAGACCACGAGAAGGGUUGCCCACAUGCGCCAUGCUUCUGCCCUGAAACGAGUUGUGGCUUCAGCGGACCAACGGUGGUGCUUCUGGGCCACUUGUCAGGCAAGCAGCAGUGCCACUCCAAAUUCAUGUACAACAAGUUGAUCGAGGUCCACAUCCAGCUGGGACCAACCGUCCUCGCGGGCGAAGACAUGAUGUGUGCUCCUUGUCGGUGUCAUCCCCGUUGACAUGCCCGCAUGGGGUUGCUUUUGACAGGUGAGUACUUCUAAGUCUUGAUUUUUGGACGUGUAGAACUUGUGUUCUUUCAACAGAUCUCUAUUUUUGGGAACUGCAGUGAUGUUCUAUCUGAUUGCAGAGCACGGUUUGUACUCGGGGCAAAAUUAUUUGCCUGAAACUGUUUAAAGGUAUUACACAAUACAUUACCCCUCAAAAGAAACUAC